CGGGAUGUAGCGCAGUCCGGUAGCGUACUAGCAUGGGGUGCUAGGGGUCGCUGGUUCGAAUCCAGUCUUCCCGACCA
rnacentral:tRNA from 1 species